GGGGGGCGGGGGGGGGGGGGGGGGGGGGGGGGGGGCGGGCGAGCGGACGAGGAGCUUGCUCCUCUGACGUUAGCGGCGGACGGGUGAGUAACACGUGGAGAACCUACCUAUAAGACGGGGAUAACUUCGGGAAACCGGAGCUAAUACCGGAUAAUAUAUUGAACCGCAUGGUUCAAUAGUUAAAGACGGUUUUGCUGUCACUUAUAGAUGGCUCCGCGCCGCAUUAGCUAGUUGGUAAGGUAACGGCUUACCAAGGCAACGAUGCGUAGCCGACCUGAGAGGGUGAUCGGCCACACUGGAACUGAGACACGGUCCAGACUCCUACGGGAGGCAGCAGUAGGGAAUCUUCCGCAAUGGGCGAAAGCCUGACGGAGCAACGCCGCGUGAGUGAUGAAGGUCUUCGGAUCGUAAAACUCUGUUAUUAGGGAAGAACAAAUGUGUAAGUAACUAUGCACGUCUUGACGGUACCUAAUCAGAAAGCCACGGCUAACUACGUG
rnacentral:rRNA from 1 species